AACUUUUACAUUUUUCUUUAUAAAAUCUGUCUAACCUAUCUGAGACUGCCUUUCAAAUUCUCUACUUGUUUUCAUAUCCUUGCCUCAGGGUCUGCUUCUGAUGGAUUCUAAACUAAGACAGUCAAUGGCUAUCCUGGAGGGAUGAACUUUAAAGAAGAAAAGACUCUGAUAACAAACUUCAGAAGCAACAUCAUACAGCAAGAUUCAAAUCAGAUCAAAUUUAUAAAGGGCUAUUGCUCUAAUUCUGGCUAUAAACUCAAAUUACCAGGAAAAGCCUACAAAGCCAACCUCAGCACAUUUUGUCUGAUUUGUAGAAGCCAUCACCUCAUCAGAAAAACACCUGUUACCCAGUCACCUUUAUUAAACUCAAUGCCAAGUAUCAUUAGUACAGUUAUGCUGCGAUAAUUUUCUGUUCAUUCCAUCACCAAAUGUUCUAAAUGUCUAUCACUGGAAAACAGCCUCUCUUUCAAUAAAAUAACUGGGUAAGAAAAGAGU
rnacentral:lncRNA from 1 species